rnacentral:rRNA from 1 species
AUUGAACGCUGGCGGCAGGCUUAACACAUGCAAGUCGAGCGAGCGGCGGACGGGUGAGUAAUGUCUGGGAAACUGCCUGAUGGAGGGGGAUAACUACUGGAAACGGUAGCUAAUACCGCAUACCAUCAGAUGUGCCCAGAUGGGAUUAGCUAGUGGGUGGGGUAAUGGCUCACCUAGGCGACGAUCCCUAGCUGGUCUGAGAGGAUGACCAGCCACACUGGGACUGAAGCACGGUCCAUGCUCCUCCGGUGGGCAGCAGUGGGGAAUAUUGGACAAUUGGCGAAAGCCUGGUUCAGCCAGGCCGCGUGUGUGAAGGAGGCCUUCGGGUUUUAAAGCACUUUCAGCGAGGAGGCGUUACUCGCAGAAAAAGCACCGGCUAACUCCGGGCCAGCAGCCGCGGUAAUUC